AUGCUCCUAUGUUGUGUUAAGUGUUGGCAGAUAUCUGGACCCCGCCCUAGCGGUCUAGAGCUUGAACCCCGGAACUUCCCCCUCCCCAUAGAAGUCCGGGGUUUUUUUUUGCCCGCAG
rnacentral:sRNA from 2 species